AACUGCGCUGAACUUCCUCUUUACUGACACUUUAAGUUCUUUAACUCCUGAGAAAUGAGAUAGGAAAGAAGCUGUAGUUGGCUGGGACGCUUUGUGUUUUGAUGUAUUAACUGGACGUAUAAUAAACAGUGUGAAUAAAUAGCGUUGUUGCACUGUUGAGAUGAUCAGUGGAACUCUAUUUGCUGUGGCCCUGUCUCUCUGUGUUGCUUGAGGUGCUGUGUUGAAUCCAGUGCUAAUUUAGUUUCCAACAGUCAGUCAGACAGUGAGAUGACGGUACACCCAGAAGAACACCAAGCUACAAGAUGUGAUCGUUCUUUGGUAACAACAGCUCCUGGGGAAAAGAAAGGACAAGACAAUAACUCAUUCCAGAAAUAAUUCACCAGGAAACUCUUCCAACUUUCCUGGUUCAUUUCAACCUUCCAGAGAACCCUCCAAGAGCAGCUUCAUUCUGAACUUCACAAACAUGCAGCUCAGAGACACUGCCAUCUCUACUUGCAAUGUGUAAGGCUACACCCAAACAAUUACUGCCCCUCAAUCUAAUCUAUAAAACCAUAAGGUAUAGGUGCAGAAUUAGGCCAUUCGGCCCAUUGAGCCUGCUCCACCAUUCAAUCAUAGCUGAUAGGUUUCGCAAUCCCGUCUCCUUGAACACUUCCAAUAACCCUUCAUCCCCUUACUAAUCAAGAACUUAUCUAUCUCUGUCUUUAAUACACUCAAUGACUCUGUGGCAAUGUGUUUCACAGAUUCAUCACCCUGUGGCUGAAGAAAUUCCUCCUCAUCUCAGUUGCCAUUGUGGAAUGUCACCAGACUGUUAUCUCCUUAUAUGACUCCAUGUGAGAAACCCUGGAAAGUUUCCCUCUUUUAAAGGCACUAUCAAACUGCAAGUUGUUGUUUAAUCAGUUUAGAGCCAAUCCACAUAUCAGCUUCUAUUUUUGACCGAAUAUGGGUUUCAAAAGUUGCAGGUAGUGACUGGCAAAUGAUAUCAUCGACAAAACAGAACAAUAAUGGCUUCCUGUGGUUUGGGCGUGUUUUCUUCUUGUUUAUAUCGUUGUCAAUUAUUUUUAACAGUCUGUUCAGCAGAUAUUUAAAAUUGCACUUGAUUUCAUGCAAUAACCAAUUGCUGAAUAAAAAUCUAAUUAUCUGACCAUUAAA